GACGAACGCUGGCGGCGUGCCUAAUACAUGCAAGUAGGACGCAGAUGCGAACGGGUGAGUAACGCGUCGGUAACUGCCUAUUAGCGGGGGAUAAAUAUUGGACACGAUAGCUAAUCCCGCAUACUAGUAGAUGGACCUGCGUUGUCUUGGCUAGUAGGUAGGGUAAUGGCCUACCUAGGCGACGAUACAUAGCCGACCUGGUAGGGGGAUCGGCCACACGGGGAUGUAGACACGGCCCAGACUCCUACGGGAGGCAGCAGUAGGGAAUCUUCGGCAAUGGGGGGAACUCUGACCGAGCAACGCCGCGUGAGUUAAGAGGGUUUUCGGAUCGUAAAGCUCUGUUGUUAAGGAAGCGGUACUUAACCAGAAAGGGACGGCUAACUCCGUGCCAGCAGCCGCGGUAAUUC
rnacentral:rRNA from 1 species